rnacentral:rRNA from 1 species
GACGUAGGGCGCAAGCGUUGUCCGGAUUUAUUGGGCGUAAAGAGCUCGUAGGCGGCUUGUUGCGUCGUCCGUGAAAACCCGUGGCUCAACUGCGGGCUUGCGGACGAUACGGGCAGGCUGGAGUUCGGUAGGGGAGACUGGAAUUCCUGGUGUAGCGGUGAAAUGCGCAGAUAUCAGGAGGAACACCGGUGGCGAAGGCGGGUCUCUGGGCCGAAACUGACGCUGAGGAGCGAAAGCGUGGGGAGCAAACAGG